rnacentral:rRNA from 1 species
UACAGAGGUCCCAAGCGUUGUUCGGAUUCACUGGGCUUAAAGGGUGCGUAGGCGGCUAUCUAAGCAGGGUGUGAAAGCCCCCGGCUCAACCGGGGAAUUGCGUUCUGAACUGGAUGGCUGGAGUGAGAUAGGGGUGUGUGGAACUUCCAGUGGAGCGGUGAAAUGUGUUGAUAUUGGAAGGAACGCCGGUGGCGAAAGCGACACACUGGGUCUCAACUGACGCUGAGGCACGAAAGCCAGGGGAGCGAACGGG